rnacentral:lncRNA from 1 species
CAAAGUUCAUUUGUUUACUCGGACAGAGUCUCCUUUGUAUUUGCACGGCGUACCAACGGAUACAACAGGAUCACAACCACAACCUACAUUUUCCAAUCAGCAACCAAUUCAUGAUAUGCAUUUUCAUACAGCUAACAAUCCUUAGAGAUGAUGCGUGCCUCUAAACACUCAUUAGACGUUGGAUGAUGCAAUGCACAGUACAACAAUCAUCCUAUUUAAAAGUGCUCCCCACACGGAAGCUUUUGUUUUUAAAAUCUAAUUCAUUCAUACAUGAAAAUCAUUCAAAAAUCUUUUGAAAACUGUUUCCCACACGGAAACUCUAUUUUGAAAACUGACUACCUCGAGGGGUAGAAAACCACGAUGCGUAAAUCCAUAAAUACAAAUCCGCGAACCACAAAGUAUACAAACAUCCCAAAACUGAAGAUCCAUAAACCAAAUCCACAAUUCCACAAUUCCACAAAUUCAACCAGCUCACAACAUUCAAACAUCAAGUAUGAUCAUCUAACUGAACCAUAUAAACUAACUAAGCUAUAACAACAGAAUAGUAAGGAUAAAACUAAAUCGAUAACCUGGGUCGGAAGCUCUAUCGACCGCUACGAACGUACAUCACGUCUCGUCCCAAAACUCAUUGCCUGCAAUACCUGAAAAAUGGUGGGGGAGGUGAGAAUAUGUAAACAUGUCUCCCCUCCCAGUGGGUACCGCAAGCCGAUGAAGGCGAGGAGUACUCACCGGAUCAGGAAGAGAUAAACAACAGUAUGGGUAAGUAAAAUACAGUAGCAACGAUAAUGAACGAAUGAAAUAUAUAUAUGAAAGCACAACUACCGCUACUGUAAUGUACAACUGCAAGCAUACAAGGAUAUCAAAACUAUAGUAGUAAGACAACUGUAAAGAAAGAACUAGAAGU